GGUUUGAUUCCCGAGCGGUCAAAGGGGCUCGACUUAAGUUCGAGUGCGUAAUGCUUCGUGGGUUCAAAUCCCACUCAAACCA
rnacentral:tRNA from 1 species